GAGGAAAGCGGGCGGCGUGCCUAAUACAUGCAAGUCGAGCGAACAGACGAGGAGCUUGCUCCUCUGACGUUAGCGGCGGACGGGUGAGUAACACGUGGAUAACCUACCUAUAAGACUGGGAUAACUUCGGGAAACCGGAGCUAAUACCGGAUAAUAUAUUGAACCGCAUGGUUCAAUAGUUAAAGACGGUUUUGCUGUCACUUAUAGAUGGAUCCGCGCCGCAUUAGCUAGUUGGUAAGGUAACGGCUUACCAAGGCAACGAUGCGUAGCCGACCUGAGAGGGUGAUCGGCCACACUGGAACUGAGACACGGUCCAGACUCCUACGGGAGGCAGCAGUAGGGAAUCUUCCGCAAUGGGCGAAAGCUUGACGGAGCAACGCCGCGUGAGUGAUGAAGGUCUUCGGAUCGUAAAACUCUGUUAUUCGGGAAGAACAAAUGUGUAAGUAACUAUGCACGUCUUGACGGUACCUAAUCAGAAAGCCACGGCUAACUACGUG
rnacentral:rRNA from 1 species